rnacentral:rRNA from 1 species
GACGAACGCUGGCGGCGUGCUUAACACAUGCAAGUCGAACGGAAAGGCCCUGCUUUUGUGGGGUGCUCGAGUGGCGAACGGGUGAGUAACACGUGAGUAACCUGCCCUUGACUUUGGGAUAACUUCAGGAAACUGGGGCUAAUACCGGAUAGGAGCUCCUGCUGCAUGGUGGGGGUUGGAAAGUUUCGGCGGUUGGGGAUGGACUCGCGGCUUAUCAGCUUGUUGGUGGGGUAGUGGCUUACCAAGGCUUUGACGGGUAGCCGGCCUGAGGGGGGGACCGGCCACAUGGGAAUUGGGAUCCGCCCAGACUCCUACGGGAGGCAGCAGUGGGGAAUAUUGCACAAUGGGCGGAAGCCUGAUGCAGCAACGCCGCGUGCGGGAUAACGGCCUUCGGGUUGUAAACCGCUUUCGCCUGUGACGAAGCGUGAGUGACGGUAAUGGGUAAAGAAGCACCGGCUAACUACGUG